rnacentral:tRNA from 1 species
UGGCGGGUAGCAUAACUGGUCAUGCCCUCGGCCGUUAACCGAGAGAUUUGUGGGUUCGAGCCCCACCCCGCCAG